rnacentral:ncRNA from 1 species
CGGCAUCAUGCAGGAGAGAGCAGCGGUCUUCCCCAGACUCCCGCUGCCGCCGAAGGCGCAAGCGCACCCGCAAUCGCUCAGGCAAAAGGACUGCAUGAGCGGA